GGUCGGAUGGUGUAGUGGUACAACAUCCGGGCCGGUCUUCUACACCUGAGACAGAAGAUCGCUGGUUCGACUCCAGCAGACCU
rnacentral:tRNA from 1 species